rnacentral:rRNA from 1 species
UACGGGGGGGGCAAGCGUUGUUCGGAUUUACUGGGCGUAAAGGGCGCGUAGGCGGCGUGGUAAGUCACUUGUGAAAUCUCUGAGCUUAACUCAGAACGGCCAAGUGAUACUGCUGUGCUAGAGUGCAGAAGGGGCAAUCGGAAUUCUUGGUGUAGCGGUGAAAUGCGUAGAUAUCAAGAGGAACACCUGAGGUGAAGACGGGUUGCUGGGCUGACACUGACGCUGAGGCGCGAAAGCCAGGGGAGCAAACGGG